rnacentral:rRNA from 1 species
AUUGAACGCUGGCGGCAGGCCUAACACAUGCAAGUCGAGCGGAUGAAGGGAGCUUGCUCCUGGAUUCAGCGGCGGACGGGUGAGUAAUGCCUAGGAAUCUGCCUGGUAGUGGGGGAUAACGUCCGGAAACGGGCGCUAAUACCGCAUACGUCCUGAGGGAGAAAGUGGGGGAUCUUCGGACCUCACGCUAUCAGAUGAGCCUAGGUCGGAUUAGCUAGUUGGUGGGGUAAAGGCCUACCAAGGCGACGAUCCGUAACUGGUCUGAGAGGAUGAUCAGUCACACUGGAACUGAGACACGGUCCAGACUCCUACGGGAGGCAGCAGUGGGGAAUAUUGGACAUAGGGCGAAAGCAUGAUCCAGCCAUGCCGCGUGUGUGAAGAAGGUCUUCGGAUUGUAAAGCACUUUAAGUUGGGAGGAAGGGCAGUAAGUUAAUACCUUGCUGUUUUGACGUUACCAACAGAAUAAGCACCGGCUAACUUCGUG